CGGGACAUAGCGCAGCCUGGCUAGCGCAUCUGCUUUGGGAGCAGAGGGUCGCAGGUUCGAAUCCUGCUGUCCCGACCA
rnacentral:tRNA from 1 species